UCGCGACGAUGAGGGUGUCAAGGGUCAAAGCGGAGGUAAAGUUAAAGUUGGGGCAGAGGAGAGGUAAUUGAGCGGUGAGGAGCGACGCGACGCGUCAAUGUGGGUGGUUUGCGUGUGCUCCCCUCCGUCACUAGCCGCAGCACCGCCGCUCUACCGCCGCCGCUGCUGCUACUGCACCGUGCUCCUCGACCGGUGCGAGCAGCCGCUGUGCCCGCGCGCGGAGGGACGGCGGCGUCGCGGCCGCGGGUUAAGCCGCCGCCGCCAGCCCCGGCCGACCAUGCCCCUCCUCCUCCUCCCCUUCUACCUCCUCCCCACCCGCGUCGUCCGCUCCCCGAAGCGGCUCAGGUGCCGCCUCUACGACGCCCUCGACCCCGAGCCGCACACCCUGCAGCGGCGCGUCUCGGAGCGGCCGCGGCUCCUGUCGCUCGAGCGCGCCUCCGAGGCCGCCGGCCGCCGCCGGCGCCCGUUCGCGGAGUCGAAGUACUUGCUCAUGGAGGGGCUCCUGGCGCUGGGGCAGUCCACGACCCGGCAGCAACGGCGGCAGCGUAAGCAGCGCGAGGAGCACAAUCCACAUCCUUCAUCGCUACUAUGGGGUCACCUCGUUGGCUUCUUUGAAAUGUAUUCGGGUGGUUUACGAUUUUCUAAGGUUGAAGGACUACCUGCCGUAGACCGAAUGCUUCUUUUUCCUUAAAGUCGACUGUCCCGUUCUAAAAGUGACCAACGAGGGGUAAGUAAAGAAAGCAGUUCCGAUCGUCCUUAGGGACCUUAGUCGAGUAGGGAAGAUCUCCUUAAACCCCGUGCUGAACACUGGAUACUAGAAGGACCAAAACCACUUUCACUAGGAGUAGGUCCGGCUUUAGACUUAAGAAGACGUAAUCUGUACGAAGUAAACCGGCUACGGGAACCCUAACACCUGUUCAAGACCCAACAUCCGAUAAGACCUCCACCGUACGUACGAACCUCACGAGACGCGAUGUAAGGACUGGCCCACCGUCCACGUCGUUACAAGCGGGGAUACCGUUUAGGUAUACUGAGGUUCUACUGGUUCCUACUCUUUGCAUUUUAUACCCUGUCUACCAGUUGAUUUGCUUUUGAUUACGUGUAAAAUCGAGCCUCCAAGGGUAGUGAUAAUGCGGAGAAGAUAGUGGCUUCGAAGGAAAGACCUUUCGUUCCUGUCGGACUCUCAACCAAUAGUAACAGUUACCCUUUCUUCCUGUUUUGAAAUGACCUUCGAGGAUGUAAGUUGCGUAAGACCCUUUUCCUACAACGUCUCAGACACGCGGUCCCUCUACGCGUCGGUAAACAGCUCCUUCGACACGACGUUCAUAGACUAACCCCAAAGUCGAACAGUCUGUAAGUUUACGUCUUCUUUCUCCUAGUCCCUCAUAAACUUAAAUAGUUCAGAGACAAGUCAGUCCGACUUGCUCUCACCCACCCUAAAGACCCGGGUUAGGUGUAAACCGUCCCUUACCUACUGGCCCACCACGGGGGUAGCCGCUGGCUCAAACGGGCCUCCUACCAAGGCCCCCGGUGACAUGUGUUCGAAGACCUGCUUCCGGUGAAGAGUAUGAAGACAAAGACGCUGCUCACGGUGGCCGUCUAUAAGAGGUGGGACAAACCGUGGGGCGUCCCGGGAGACUUAGGACGUGGCCUUAGGUCGCUUCGCCGGGGCCUUGGCCGCCUUCUUUGUUCGGGACGUAUGCUGCUUCUUCAACGUCUCGUCCUCGUCCUUUGUAGUCCGGACCGGACUGGUACAAGUCGGAGUCCUAGUACUCAUAUCUAUGUUCCCAUGUUGUUCUGCAAUGAUCAUCCUUGGAGUCUCUUUUCUAUCCGAAAAGGAAGGAACGGCGGUCACCUCUUUUACGACUGGCUCACAUUUUGUUUCGAGACACAGACCCCAGACCUACCCCCCGAACGUGGCUGACACGACCAAGUCAUAUUACAUGUCUUUUUCGGAACUUUCCAGACGUUUUCUUUAGUGGACGAACCACGCGGAGAUCGCAUCGAGAGAGCUACAACCCGUAAGCUAACCGGACACUAACGCGCUGCGCGAACGCAUGGAUAAGACGUGUAAACGAAUGGUACACUACAUUACCCUACCAACCAACAUAACGAGAGAGUCGAUACGAUACGUCUUCAUUUCAUUGGAACCGACACGGUCGGGGAGGACUAAGGACUUUAUAUCGUAAACGAAGGAGAGCACACAACGGAAAAGGAAAAAAAAAACAAAAACUUCUUGCGGUAUCCAAGCUAGACCGGAGGGAAUACAGUGGCAAUCCUCGUCCCUCUGAACUGCUCCGUUUCCGGUUUCCUCGGGGGGAAGGCGCCGAACGGCCUCUGCCGCUUAACCUCUCGCGUUUUGCCUCUCUCUCCCAGAGAAAACGGUAGAAUGUCCGCCCCGGGCGAACUUAAGGGCCAAAACGGGGACGGUUCAGUUAACUGGUCCUCUCCCUGCGCAAGCACAAGGGACGAGAAGCAGCUGCGGCUGCCCCCCAGAGGUGCCGCUGUAUGGCCGCCUGCCGCCGCCUAGGGAGGGCCACUUCCGCUGCAACAAUGUAAACGUUUACAGUUUAAGACAGUACUUAUGGUGAGUCUUUCAACUAGGUUGCCUUGGUCGACGAUUCUAACGAGUCGUUCGGAGUGUCAAGUUUGCUACCCCUGCGUUCGUAGGUAAACAAGCUAUACCGGAAGGCGAGUAAAGAAACUGUCACAAACCACGCCAACCAGAUCGAGUAGAGUAUGUCCCUUCGUUUCUUCAUUGUUUCCUUUUCCUCCUGUACCUUACCCUCCAGCAUCUCUUUUGUUUUCGAGACUCGGCUUGUCCUGGUCACCUUCCCCGAAUAUUCGGAUUCUUCGAGAGCGAUCUCCUGCUUGACUUCCGAAACGUCGUUUUCCACCUGUAUUUGUCGAUGCUGAUGUUCUCUUAAGGGUUUGUUUUACUUUUGUUCACUUCAUUUCGUGACAAAUAGUACGAUUCCCCACCCCCUAAAAGAAUUUUAGGAACUUCAUCAAAGAACCAGGACAAAGAAGUACUCAAGGAACCCUACAACAGGUUCACAGUUUUACUCUAACGCCUCUGUAAUAGUAGUCUUGAGACACGAAGCAGUCGGUAAUCGUCAUCUCUCAAUCAGCUCCUAGGAACACUUCCGAACUUGGCAUCCUUAUUAGAAACAUCGGUACCGGCUACCCUCUAUCCGUAAAAGUGCCAGGUGGUUCACUCAGAAAAAAAUCAACUAGCUUAUGACGGAAGAAAUGGUACCCCGGUUAUUUAACAUCCAUUGUGUCAUGAGACUGCACGCUCGUUAGUUUAAAACAUACGGUAAAGAACCUUCGAUUAAUCGACACAGUGCUAGUGAUUUGUUUCCCCUCCUUUGUCC
rnacentral:rRNA from 1 species